GCCGCUGUAGCCCAGUUGGUAGAGGCUUCGCCAGUACAGAUGGCAAAAGUCGCUGGUUCAAAUCCAGCCUGCGGUA